rnacentral:rRNA from 1 species
GAUGAACGCUGGCGGCGUGCUUAACACAUGCAAGUCGAACGGACUUUAUAUGAAGCCUAGCGCUUAUAAAGUUAGUGGCGGACGGGUGAGUAACGCGUGAAUAACCUGCCCUGUACCGGGGGACAACAGUUGGAAACGGCUGCUAAUACCGCAUAAGCGCACGGUUCCGCAUGGAACAGUGUGAAAAACUCCGGUGGUACAGGAUGGACCCGCGUCUGAUUAGAUAGUUGGUGAGGUAACGGCCCACCAAGUCAACGAUCAGUAGCCGGCCUGAGAGGGUGAACGGCCACAUUGGGACUGAGACACGGCCCAAACUCCUACGGGAGGCAGCAGUGGGGAAUAUUGCACAAUGGGGGAAACCCUGAUGCAGCGACGCCGCGUGAGUGAAGAAGUAUUUCGGUAUGUAAAGCUCUAUCAGCAGGGAAGAAAAUGACGGUACCUGACUAAGAAGCCCCGGCUAACUACGUGCCAGCCGCCGCAGUAA